CCCUUAGAUGUCCUGGGCUGCACGCGCGAUACACUGAUGUGUCCAGUAAGCACCUAACCUCUUCCGAAAGGAACGGGUAACCUUUGCAAAGCACAUCGUGAUGGGGAUAGAUUAUUGCAAUUAUUAGUCUUGAACGAGGAAUUCCUAGUAAGCACAAGUCAUCAGCUUGUGUUGAUUACGUCCCUGCCCUUUGUACACACCGCCCGUCGCUCCUACCGAUUGAAUGUUCCGGUGAGCUCUUCGGACUGCGCGGUCUGCAGUUUCUGCGUUCCGUGCGGAAAGUUGCGCAAACCUUAACAUUUAGAGGAAGGAGAAGUCGUAACA
rnacentral:rRNA from 1 species